rnacentral:rRNA from 1 species
AUUGAACGCUGGCGGCAGGCUUAACACAUGCAAGUCGAGCGGGGAAAGGUAGCUUGCUACUUAACCUAGCGGCGGACGGGUGAGUAAUGCUUAGGAAUCUGCCUAUUAGUGGGGGACAACAUCUCGAAAGGGAUGCUAAUACCGCAUACGUCCUACGGGAGAAAGCAGGGGACCUUCGGGCCUUGCGCUAAUAGAUGAGCCUAAGUCGGAUUAGCUAGUUGGUGGGGUAAAGGCCUACCAAGGCGACGAUCUGUAGCGGGUCUGAGAGGAUGGUCCGCCACGCUGGGUAUGAGACACGGCCCAGACUCCUACGGGAGGCAGCAGUGGGGAAUAUUGGACAAUGGGGGGAACCCUGAUCCAGCCAUGCCGCGUGUGUGAAGAAGGCCUUUUGGUUGUAAAGCACUUUAAGCGAGGAGGAGGCUACCGAGAUUAAUACUCUUGGAUAGUGGACGUUACUCGCAGAAUAAGCACCGGCUAACUCUGUGCCAGCAGCCGCCGUAA